rnacentral:rRNA from 1 species
CAAUAGCGUAUAUUAAAGUUGUUGCAGUUAAAAGCUCGUAGUUGGAUUUCUGGGAGGGUGCCAAUGUCCGUCAACGUGCGUGUGCAGCGGCGCCCUUCCAUCCUUCUGUUAACGCCUCUGGGCAUUUAUUUGCUGGUGGCGGGCUCAGAUAUUUUACCUUGAGAAAAUUAGAGUGUUUCAGGCAGGCUAGGCCGGAAUACAUUAGCAUGGAAUAAUAGAAUAGGACUAUGGGUCUCUUUGUUGGUUUGAGGGACUUAUGGGUAAUGAUUAAUAGGGAUAGUGGGGGCAUUAGUAGUUUAAUUGUCAGAGGUGGAAUUCUCAGAUUUGUUAA